GACCCCUUAGCUCAGUGGUAGAGCGUGUGAUUCCAGUAUGUCAGCUAUCAGCUUUAGUUGAAUCCACAAGGUCGUCCGUUCAAUCCGGGCAGGGGUCA